AGUUCUAACCUGCUCUGCAGGAAUAACGGUCCUGCCUCCCGACACUCUUGGCGAGGUUUUUGUACAGUUUGCUCCGGGAGCUGUUUCUUCGCUUCCACCUUUUUCUCCCCCACACUUCGCGGCUUCUUCAUGCUUUUUCUUCUCACCAUUUCUGGCCAAAACUACAAACAAGACUUCGCAGAUCGAGCCUGCGUGCUGCCGAAGCAGGGCGCCGAGUCCAUGCGAACUGCCAUCUGAUCCGCUCUUAUCAAUGAAGCAGCCGAUCAUGGCGGAUGGCCCCCGGUGCAAGAGGCGCAAACAAGCCAAUCCCAGGAGGAAAAACGGGUCAUCAAGAUUGUCAGAAAAGGCCUGGACUACAUGCCUGUCCCAGCACUAGAUUGUGGUGAACUAUGACAAUGUAGUGGACACAGGUUCUGAAACAGAUGAGGAAGACAAGCUUCAUAUUGCUGAGGAUGACGGUAUUGCCAACCCUCUGGACCAGGAGACGAGUCCAGCUAGUGUGCCCAACCAUGAGUCCUCCCCACACGUGAGCCAAGCUCUGUUGCCAAGAGAGGAAGAGGAAGAUGAAAUAAGGGAGGGUG
rnacentral:lncRNA from 1 species